rnacentral:lncRNA from 8 species
CAGAAAUCGACUCCUUAUACACUCGGAUGCUAUUAACGAGUGUGCAGAAAUCCUGUGUAGCAGACAGUUGUUCAGAGCAUUAUCGUUGUUAUACAAUAAAGAGGCAUAUUUGUUUCAGCUGAAACAGGUCUGUCCUUCAGCAGGGCUGGACGAGAAUGUCAUGGCUCCCUCUGAACAGAGCUGAGACAUUUACUGGUGAACAGUGACACCGCGUGGUUAACGCAGGAGGAGAGUCAGGCUGGGAGAGAGGCCUCACUGCUUGAUGUGAUUCUGCUAAGUCACAUGCUGAUGAAACAGAGCCCACGUACGACCUCUACAGAUGUCCAGAAAGCCACUUAAUCCCCAAACUGAUAUCCCUUCUCUCAAACCAAUACCAACAGCUAAUAUCAACUAAACUAGCGUUCAUUUCUAAAACACAACUAAGCCGUAUGUGCUUUCUUGUCUGCUUCUUCCAUGCAUGCUUUCUGAGUGUUAGUACCCAUUUUUUAUGUGAUCUAUUCCAUCAUUUUGAAAGUGUAGAACUGUGAAAUAGUUUUGUUAAGUGAGUACUUUACUUGAUGAAAUCUUUAUUUUGAAACGCAAAGAAGCUUUUCCAUCUCUCUCCGUCUGUUUGUAACUUAAUGGUGCCCCCUGGUGGAGAUCUAGCAGGCAGACUACAUGUACUACAGAUCUACAGUCUUUACAGAUACUAACCUUGGUAAGUAGAUCGAUACUAGGCCAUGCCUGGUCA